GACGAACGCUGGCGGCGUGCCUAAUACAUGCAAGUAGAACGCUGAAGGUGGGUACUUGUUCCCACUGGGUGAGGAGCGCACGGGUGUAUCACGUGUGGGGCCUCCCUCUUUGAGGGGGGGACAACUUGGGGAAAAUAAUGCUUACACCGCAUUAAAACUUUAAACAUAACUUUUACGUAUGAAAUACACAUUCGCAUCAAUCAAAUGUAAUUCCGCGUUGUAUUCGCUUGUUGGUGAGGUAAAGGCUCACCAAGGCGAUGAUACAUAGCCGACCUGAGAGGGUGAUCGGCCACAAUGGGACUGAGACACGGCCCAAACUCCUACGGGAGGCAGCAGUAGGGAAUCUUCGGGAAUGGACGAAAGGCUGACCGAGCAACGCCGCGUGAGUGAAGAAGGUUUUCGGAUCGUAAAACUCUGUUGGUAGGGAAGAACGUUGGUGAGAGUGGAAAGCUCAUCAAGUGACGGUAACUACACAGAAAGGGACGGCUAACUACGUG
rnacentral:rRNA from 1 species